rnacentral:rRNA from 1 species
UACAUAGGUCCCGAGCGUUGUCCGGAUUUAUUGGGCGUAAAGCGAGCGCAGGUGGUUUAUUAAGUCUGGUGUAAAAGGCAGUGGCUCAACCAUUGUAUGCAUUGGAAACUGGUAGACUUGAGUGCAGGAGAGGAGAGUGGAAUUCCAUGUGUAGCGGUGAAAUGCGUAGAUAUAUGGAGGAACACCGGUGCCGAAAGCGGCUCUCUGGCCUGUAACUGACACUGAGGCUCGAAAGCGUGGGGAGCAAACAGG